rnacentral:rRNA from 1 species
UACGUAGGGGGCUAGCGUUGUCCGGAAUCAUUGGGCGUAAAGAGCGUGUAGGCGGCCCGGUAAGUCCGCUGUAAAAGUCAAAGGCUCAACCUUUGAAUGUCAGUGGAUACUGCCGGGCUAGAGUCCGGAAGAGGCGAGUGGAACUCCUGGUGUAGCGGUGGAAUGCGCAGAUAUCAGGAAGAACACCAAUAGCGAAGGCAGCUCGCUGGGACGUUACUGACACUGAGGCGCGAAAGCGUGGGGAGCAAACAGG